CUGUCACACCCGGAGAGGUGGAUGAUGAGGCACCAGCGACCCAUGAUGCUGGAGUAAUUACAGGACCAGGUAACGGGGGAGCCAAUCACGAAGGGACCUAAAGUGGGGCGCUUGUUUCCACUAUUUUUACCCGUUCCAUCACUUUCUCCAGUUUUUUCUAUUAAGUCUUUUGCUUGUAAUAAUAUUCCUGAUCUGAGUAUGGUGUGGCAUCGUCGUUUAGGCCAUCCCAAUACUCAGAUCCUAUCUCAUGUAUUGCACUCUGGCUUUCUUGUUAAUAAAGAAUGUUCUUUUUUAUCUCUUCA